rnacentral:SRP_RNA from 1 species
GCCGGGCAUGGUGGCUCAUGCCUGUGAUCCCAGCACUUUGGGAGACUGAGGUGGGUGGAUCACCUGCGGUCAGGAGUUCUGGACCAGCCUGACCAACAAGGAGAACACUCGUCUCUA